rnacentral:rRNA from 1 species
UGGGGAAUUUUGGACAAUGGGCGAAAGCCUGAUCCAGCCAUGCCGCGUGCAGGAUGAAGGCCUUCGGGUUGUAAACUGCUUUUGUACGGAACGAAAAGACUCUGGUUAAUACCUGGGGUCCAUGACGGUACCGUAAGAAUAAGCACCGGCUAACUACGUGCCAGCAGCCGCGGUAAUACGUAGGGUGCAAGCGUUAAUCGGAAUUACUGGGCGUAAAGCGUGCGCAGGCGGUUAUAUAAAACAGAUGUGAAAUCCCCGGGCUCAACCUGGGAACUGCAUUUGUGACUGUAUAGCUAGAGUACGGCAGAGGGGGAUGGAAUUCCGCGUGUAGCAGUGAAAUGCGUAGAUAUGCGGAGGAACACCGAUGGCGAANGCAAUCCCCUGGGCCUGUACUGACGCUCAUGCACGAAAGCAUGGGGAGCAAACAGGAUUAGAUACCCUGGUAGUCCACGCCCUAAACGAUGUCAACUGGUUGUUGGGUCUUCACUGACUCAGUAACGAAGCUAACGCGUGAAGUUGACCGCCUGGGGAGUACGGCCGCAAGGUUG